CUGGAGGUAUCAGAAGUGCGAAUGCUGACAUAAGUAACGAUAAAGCGGGUGAAAAGCCCGCUCGCCGGAAGACCAAGGGUUCCUGUCCAACGUUAAUCGGGGCAGGGUGAGUCGACCCCUAAGGCGAGGCCGAAAGGCGUAGUCGAUGGGAAACGGGUUAAUAUUCCCGUACUUGGUGUUACUGCGAAGGGGGGACGGAGAAGGCUAUGUUGGCCGGGCGACGGUUGUCCCGGUUUAAGCGUGUAGGUGUGUGUUCCAGGUAAAUCCGGUUCACUUUAACACUGAGGCGUGAUGACGAGGCACUACGGUGCUGAAGCAACAAAUGCCCUGCUUCCAGGAAAAGCCUCUAAGCAUCAGGUAACAUCAAAUCGUACCCCAAACCGACACAGGUGGUCAGGUAGAGAAUACCAAGGCGCUUGAGAGAACUCGGGUGAAGGAACUAGGCAAAAUGGUGCCGUAACUUCGGGAGAAGGCACGCUGACACGUAGGUGAAGUGAUUUACUCAUGGAGCUGAAGUCAGUCGAAGAUACCAGCUGGCUGCAACUGUUUAUUAAAAACACAGCACUGUGCAAACACGAAAGUGGACGUAUACGGUGUGACGCCUGCCCGGUGCCGGAAGGUUAAUUGAUGGGGUCAGCGCAAGCGAAGCUCCUGAUCGAAGCCCCGGUAAACGGCGGCCGUAACUAUAACGGUCCUAAGGUAGCGAAAUUCCUUGUCGGGUAAGUUCCGACCUGCACGAAUGGCGUAAUGAUGGCCAGGCUGUCUCCACCCGAGACUCAGUGAAAUUGAACUCGCUGUGAAGAUGCAGUGUACCCGCGGCAAGACGGAAAGACCCCGUGAACCUUUACUAUAGCUUGACACUGAACAUUGAGCCUUGAUGUGUAGGAUAGGUGGGAGGCUUUGAAGUGUGGACGCCAGUCUGCAUGGAGCCGGCCUUGAAAUACCACCCUUUAAUGUUUGAUGUUCUAACGUGGACCCGUGAUCCGGGUUGCGGACAGUGUCUGGUGGGUAGUUUGACUGGGGCGGUCUCCUCCUAAAGAGUAACGGAGGAGCACGAAGGUUGGCUAAUCCUGGUCGGACAUCAGGAGGUUAGUGCAAUGGCAUAAGCCAGCUUGACUGCGAGCGUGACGGCGCGAGCAGGUGCGAAAGCAGGUCAUAGUGAUCCGGUGGUUCUGAAUGGAAGGGCCAUCGCUCAACGGAUAAAAGGUACUCCGGGGAUAACAGGCUGAUACCGCCCAAGAGUUCAUAUCGACGGCGGUGUUUGGCACCUCGAUGUCGGCUCAUCACAUCCUGGGGCUGAAGUAGGUCCCAAGGGUAUGGCUGUUCGCCAUUUAAAGUGGUACGCGAGCUGGGUUUAGAACGUCGUGAGACAGUUCGGUCCCUAUCUGCCGUGGGCGCUGGAGAACUGAGGGGGGCUGCUCCUAGUACGAGAGGACCGGAGU
rnacentral:rRNA from 1 species